rnacentral:rRNA from 1 species
UACGUAGGGUGCAAGCGUUGUCCGGAAUUAUUGGGCGUAAAGAGCUCGUAGGCGGUUUGUUGCGUCGGCUGUGAAAUCCCGAGGCUCAACCUCGGGUCUGCAGUCGAUACGAGCAAACUAGAGUGUUGCAGGGGAGACUGGAAUUCCUGGUGUAGCGGUGAAAUGCGCAGAUAUCAGGAGGAACACCGGUGGCGAAGGCGGGUCUCUGGGCCGGAACUGACGCUGAGGAGCGAAAGCGUGGGGAGCAAACAGG